AUUAAAGGCAAUUUCAUUAAAUAUAUGGACCUAGACCGGCCGUCGAUAUUUAUGAUCAUGCCAAAAACAACGCCAUUGAAAAUCACGCCGACAUUGAGCUAGAGCGGCUCCCGAGGUCACCAUCGUCCCAUCAUCUUAGCGCUGGCCAAGAAAUCGUCAUCUGACCCACGAAUUCAGAUGGGAAAACAGAAGAAACAAGUGGAGAAAAAAACGUAAAGAAAAGAAAUAAGUUAUACGGGACAAGUGGGGAUAUAGAACAUAACAAACAGAAAUGUCAUAUUCUUCUCGAAAAACGUCACUUACAAGAUAUGGAUAUUCUAUUUUUAGAGAGAAAAGAGGAUCGAACUUCGGAAUCUUUCCAAGCUAGCCAUUCUUUGUGUUUCAGCAACUAGCACACAUAGAGAAAGAGUUUUCUUUACCUCUGGAUUAGCUCCGAAUUCAAUGAGGUCAUCCUUAUGUAUAGCAAAUUUAAAUAAAAUUACUUUUAU